AACGGGGGGAACGAGUCUUAAUUCGGCAUAAUUGGGCAUAAAGGGUGCGUAGGUGGUUGUGCAAGUCUGAUGUGAAAUCUCCGGGCUUAACCCGGAAAUGGCAUUGGAAACUGCAUAGCUAGAGGGUUGGAGGGGGGACUGGAAUACUUGGUGUAGCAGUGAAAUGCGUAGAUAUCAAGUGGAACACCAGUGGCGAAGGCGAGUCCCUGGACAACACCUGACACUGAGGCACGAAAGCUAGGGGAGCAAACAGG
rnacentral:rRNA from 1 species